ACAAGACCUCCCAAGCAAGACAUGUAACCCACAAAAUGUAGCCAGUUUCCAGGGCUGCUCACAGCUUUGCUUCUUGUGAGAUUUAACGAAGAUGAUGGUCUUAAAAUGGUUUUACCACAAGAAACUCUCUCACAUGGAUUAUACCUUUGGUCUUCCCCUGAGGCCUCACACUGCCAUUCUGAGGAGUAAAUGAUAAAUCCAGAAGGUUUACCACAGAUCAUGGGGAGACAAUACAGAUAUGCUGAGACAGGGAUAGAC